UUGUCUCUCUCUCUCUCUCUCUCUCUCUCUCUGUUUAUUCUGGCCUUAAUUCAGAACAGAGCUGAAGUUCAGAUUUAAAGCCUAAUAAUCGAGUGACGAAAGCGAGACUAAUGUGUGUGCGUGCACGCACGCGUGCAGUGACCGGGUGGACUUGCUUUGCGCAUGCGCACUCCUAUCACGGAAAAGCGGCGCUCAAUAAUGAAAAAGCGCAUCAAUGAGCAGCGGCUAUAAAAGGAGCGACUCCCUCCAGUGCUGAUGCCUGCUUCACUAACUGGACUUUUACAGUCCCUACAGGAUCCCACAGCACACACACACACACACACACACACACUGCAGGACUGUACCACAACACGUUUAAAGAACGAAAAAUUAUGGUUUCCAUCAGAAGUUUGGAUAAAACCAUGGUGUUUCUGUGUGUGUGUGUUUUGUACAACAGCAUAAGGACAGACAGCAGACCACUGAGCCGGAGGUCCGUCAGUGAGGUUCAGCUGAUGCACAGCGUCGGUGUGCGCAAACACAUACAGCAGAGGCAGGACUGGCUGCAGGAGCACAUGCAGGACAUACACACUGCCCCAAUGCAUGGUGGGAAAAUCAGCAGCGCACGCAUCAUGAUGGAGCACUCGCCGUCCAAAGGCGUUAUGCCUGACACACCAAAAAGAGACGUGGUGGAAACACUGGAGAUACAAUGAAACCUGGACACUUCGCUGUGUCUUAGAAGAGCCAUCUGUAUAAACGUUCCAUGUCUCAUCUCAAUCUCAUUCGUGUUAAAUAUAUUGCUAUUUAUUUUUUUCUAUUUAUAUAUAUUUAAGUAUUUAUAUAGAUUUGUGGAUUUAAAAAAAUUCUGAAGUACUCCUGCUUGUUAUAAAUAUGUUACAUACACAUGUAUUUAUAGAACUUUUAUUUUAGAAAAAAAAUCUAUAUCUAUAAGAAUGCACUUUUGUUUCUUUCAUUUUAAUAAGCUGAAAUAAUGCUUACUGAAGCUAAGCAUAUACUAGAGUAGGACCAAAAUACUUUUUCUUAAAGAAAUUUAGAAUAAAAAAAUAUAAAAUAUAUUUUUAAAACAGAAAUGAGCAUGAAAAAAAAAAGAAAAUGUAAUGUACUGAUAUAUGUUUAUAGUUUUGGAAUAAAAUCACAAAACAUUUUAUU